CAGCCGCCGCGGUAACACGAAGGGUGCAAGCGUUACUCGGAAUUACUGGGCGUAAAGCGUGCGUAGGUGGUGGUUUAAGUCCGUUGUGAAAGCCCUGGGCUCAACAUGGGAAUUGCAGUGGAUACUGGGUCACUAGAGUGUGGUAGAGGAUAGUGGAAUUUCCGGUGUAGCAGUGAAAUGCGUAGAGAUCGGAAGGAACAUCUGUGGCGAAGGCGACUAUCUGGGCCAACACUGACACUGAGGCACGAAAGCGUGGGGAGCAAACAGGAUUAGAUACCCCUGUAGUCCCUGUCUCUUAUAC
rnacentral:rRNA from 1 species